UUAUUAUUAUGUAUACUAUACUAUAAAAAUCUUUGUCUCUUUAUAGAAAAAGACAGACAGACUGGAUGGAUGGACAAAGCCAUGAAUCGUCAGAACAUGCCGACACAUGGAACUGCCCAGUGCCAGAAUUGGGGGGUUUGGGCUGGAUCAGUUUCAAGAUGUUUCAUCUUCAGAAGUUUCAGGAUUAGUCUUCUUUGCACUUUGAGAUCUUCAGAUGUGGGGGAGUCACAUAUGGUAGCCUGAAUUGGUUAAUCAAUCAAAGGAUAAACCCUUUAGGAUGGAAGAAGGCGAAGAAAUGUGUUAUGGGUCACUGGAGUCAGAAGAUUCGAGCUGUUUCUCAUGAAACGACCCAAUUCAAAAGUAUGCUUAGACACUUAAUGCUGAUCGGAUUAGUGUCCGAUGGCAAAAAAGCUUAUGUGUCAGGAAGCAGUGGAGACGGACAGCAAUCCGUUUUUCUCAAACCACUUCAAAUGGUUUGAAGUGGAGUGUGGGCCUGUGUUGGCACUGACAAACAUGGUUGGAAUGCAGGAGAAACUGGGUAUUAUAUGUGAGUAAAUUGGUGCAGAUCUUAUUUAUUGCAAAAAUGAAAGCACUAAUAAGAGUAAAUUAUUUGAAUGUCUUUCAGACCUUGUGCUGUUCCUGGCUGUGUGUAGCACCUACAGCUCUGCAUUUUCUUCUGAAGAAUCCCAAUGGACCCUUUUCAUAGGCUGUGAUUAUGCGUUUCCAGUUCUGACAGUUCUGACUUCUUAUAUUCUCAGAAUUGUAUCCAAAAAAGAUUCUUUUGACAGAAAAAAGUUGCAGUUACCUCCUAUGGGAUUACAUAUGUUUGCAAAUGCUCACUGUUGCUAGAAUAAUCACAUUAUCCACAGAGUGCCAUGUGCACAGAUGCUGCAAACUCACAGAGCAUGUGGCAGUACAGCUGAGCUUGACAUUUGACUCAACUCAACUCCACAACAGUGCAUUUACAUUUGCCACAUUCCAUCCGUCCCCAUUGGGCAAGAGGAGACAACAAAUUAACACAGAUUCCCAACAGCGAGCCAAUGAGGCGGGAAGAGAAUAGCAUUAUUGUGAAAUGACACUGGGGCAACAGGGGCAUAUGUAUGUAUGAUCUGUAUUUCUGUUUUUAAUGAGGAGAUCAAGCUGGAACACAUAAUGCUGAAAUAAACGAAUAAAUUGGGAGUGCA
ensembl:lncRNA